AGGGUUUGAUCAUGGCUCAGAACGUACGCUGGCGGCACGCCUAACACAUGCAAGUCGAACGAAGUAGCAAUACUUAGUGGCAGACGGGUGAGUAACAUGUGGGUAUCUGCCCUUUGGCCUGGAAUAACACGAGGAAACUUGUGCUAAUACCGGAUAAGUCUUUACAGAGAAAGCUUUAUGCACCAUUGGAUGAGCCCGCACUUGAUUAGUUUGUUGGUGGGGUAAUGGCCUACCAAGACUUUGAUCAAUAGCUGAUUUGAGAGGAUGAUCAGCCACAUUGGGACUGAGACACGGCCCAGACUCCUACGGGAGGCAGCAGUGGGGAAUCUUGCACAAUGGGGGAAACCCUGAUGCAGCGAUGCCGCGUGAGUGAAGAAGGCCCUUGGGUUGUAAAACUCUUUCGUCGGGGAAGAAAAUGACUGUACCCGAAUAAGAAGGUCCGGCUAACUUCGUGCCAGCAGCCGCGGUAAUACGAAGGGACCUAGCGUAGUUCGGAAUUACUGGGCUUAAAGAGUUCGUAGGUGGUUAAAAAAGUUGGUGGUGAAAUCCCAGAGCUUAACUCUGGAACUGCCAUCAAAACUUUUUAGCUAGAGUUUGAUAGAGGAAAGCAGAAUUUCUAGUGUAGAGGUGAAAUUCGUAGAUAUUAGAAAGAAUACCGAUUGCGAAGGCAGCUUUCUGGAUCAAUACUGACACUGAGGAACGAAAGCAUGGGUAGCGAAGAGGAUUAGAUACCCUCGUAGUCCAUGCCGUAAACGAUGUGUGUUAGACGUUGGAAAUUUAUUUUCAGUGUCGCAGCGAAAGCGAUAAACACACCGCCUGGGGAGUACGACCGCAAGGUUAAAACUCAAAUGAAUUGACGGGGACCCGCACAAGUAGUGGAGCAUGUGGUUUAAUUCGAAGAUACGCGCAGAACCUUACCAACACUUGACAUGUUCGUCGCAACUUUAAGAGAUUAAAGUUUUCGGUUCGGCCGGACGAAACACAGGUGCUGCAUGGCUGUCGUCAGCUCGUGUCGUGAGAUGUUGGGUUAAGUCCCGCAACGAGCGCAACCCUCACUUUUAGUUGCCAUCAUUAAGUUGGGCACUCUGAAAGAACUGCCAGUGAUAAGCUGGAGGAAGGUGGGGAUGACGUCAAGUCCUCAUGGCCCUUACGUGUUGGGCUACACACGUGCUACAAUGGUAUUUACAACAGGAAGCGAAACAGCGAUGUUAAGCAAAUCCUUAAAAAAUACCUCAGUUCGGAUUGCACUCUGCAACUCGAGUGCAUGAAGCUGGAAUUACUAGUAAUCGUGGAUCAGCGUGCCACGGUGAAUGCGUUCCCGGGUCUUGUACACACCGCCCGUCACACCAUGGGAGUUGGUUCUACCUUAAGGCAAGGCAUAAAACCCUUGACCACGGUAUAGUCAGCGACUGGGGUGAAGUCAUAACAAGGUAGCCGUA
rnacentral:rRNA from 1 species